rnacentral:rRNA from 1 species
AGUGAACGCUGGCGGUAGGCCUAACACAUGCAAGUCGAACGGCAGCACAGUAAGAGCUUGCUCUUACGGGUGGCGAGUGGCGGACGGGUGAGGAAUACAUCGGAAUCUACUUUUUCGUGGGGGAUAACGUAGGGAAACUUACGCUAAUACCGCAUACGACCUACGGGUGAAAGCAGGGGAUCUUCGGACCUUGCGCGAUUGAAUGAGCCGAUGUCGGAGUAGCUGGUUGGCGGGGUAAAGGCCCACCAAGGCGACGAUCCGUAGCUGGUCUGAGAGGAUGAUCAGCCACACUGGAACUGAGACACGGUCCAGACUCCUACGGGAGGCAGCAGUGGGGAAUAUUGGACAAUGGGCGCAAGCCUGAUCCAGCCAUACCGCGUGGGUGAAGAAGGCCUUCGGGUUGUAAAGCCCUUUUGUUGGGAAAGAAAAGCAGCAGGUUAAUACCCCGCUGUUCUGACGGUACCCAAAGAAUAAGCACCGGCUAACUUCGUG